rnacentral:lncRNA from 1 species
UCUGUUUCAUCAUCAUCAAAAAAAAUAAAAUCUGGUUUGAAACUUCAGAAAUUACUAUGGCUAAGUAUCAUGUUAUUAUGGGGUGGCUGGUACGAUGACCUACUUGCAUUUGUGGUAUAAGGUGAAAUCAGGUUGCAAAUUAUUAAGGCACUUGGGAGGUGUAUAAAUAGUUUCUCUCUGUCAACGAGUAAGCAUUUGAAUUAGAUUCACAUAUUUGUAUCAAAGCACAUUUGUUUUAGCUCCAGUCUUGUUGUAAUUUAGAUAAGUUCAAUAGGGAAGAUUGCAAAGUUUUGGGGUUUUCGAGCAGUGCUAUUCGUUUAGUCAAAAUAAGUCAUGACUCAAAAAAUACUACUCAGAAGAUGAAAAAGAUAGAAAAAAACUUUAUCCAUUAAUCAGGAACUGCAUGUAGAAAAAUUAUGAAAAUCGAUAAAUUGUAACUCAUCAUUCAACUGCAAUAAUAAUAAUAUAUGGUGUUGUCUUACAGCAUAGUCUGGAUUGAGGCAUCAAUAUUCUCUUCAAGAAAUAUAUGCCAAGACAUGAACCCUAAGGAGGAAAAGGAAGAAACCUAAUGAACAUUCAUGACAUUAUUAUCAAACUAUGGGAUUCUUCCACAAAACUCAUUUGAGGUUUUGUACACCAUCAAUGUUUCGAAAAUAAGCUUUCUGAAAAGGAGCUAAAGAAUGCUCUUUUUAACACCCACUUUAUAAUUAGGUUUCCUCUGAACACAUUUUCAAAAUUAUCGUUGACAAUGAGAGAUCCCAAAUAAUGACUUAAGGUAAACCAUACAAAGUAAGGGAUAGAAUUCUCUACAUUGGCAAGCUACUAUCUGGUCUAAUGUUGCCUUGUGUAGGAUUUGGACACCAAUUUCU